CAUGUACGAAAUGCCAAUAUUCCGUUUCAAUCAAAAUGAAAUUAAAAGAAUUCUGCGGAUUUCCGUCAUUUGUACAACACCGAUGAGUGCCAUAAGCCCCACUCCGGCGCCUUUCAACUGAUGAUGGGUAUGAAUUGGAAUCAAAACAUGCUGCCGCAUAGCUGCGAGCUGUGAACUGCGCGCUGCAUUGCCACUGGCUGGAUGCUACGCCGUUAUUGACGCUGAGCAAAGAAAUGAGCAAAUAAAGCCACGCAAACACACAAUCCAAUCAUGGCUGCAUUUAUUAUGAAUGAGCUCUGUGGCAAGCAGUCGAUCUGGGCUGCUCCGAAUACGAUGGAUAGAGUCGAAAGUGUACUUUUGUAUGUAUCUUGACUUGAGGUUGCGGAGGCUGAGGGGCAUGUUUUCGUUGUAAAGUGUAGGAAUAAGUCCAGUAUGGCGUUGGAAGCUAAAGAAGAUUGAGUUGAAGAGUGGCAUUGUUGUUGUUGUUUUACGCAGCAGCAGCAUUUGAUCAAUUCGCUAUCAUAGCCUGCUUCGUUGUUGUAGCAGUGCCGCGCCACCACUGCGCUUGUUGAAUGCCUACGAAUGCGAAAUAAUUGGACAUAAUGCGGUAAUCCUCAAGUAAUCUGUGGUUCUUCUAAAUGUCUGUAGCUAGUUCGCUGUCACUAGUUAACCGAAAUACCCACAUUUUCGAAGCUAUUUACGCCAACUUCCACGACGAUAAUGAUGAUGUUGGAAUAAAAUAGGAAUACUCUGAGCAGGAGCGCAGUAAUUUUUUUUCUUCUCGCACACAAACCCAACAACUUUGUAAGAUUUUCUUCUUAGUCGGAGCAAAUUUCGAAGGCUUAGUUCGCCAUGAGGGUUGCCCUCAGGCUUGACUUGAUUGUCUGGCCGACGAUAAGAGUACGUUGCGUGUGUCGGUCGAAAGUGUUGCUCGGCUGUCCACGCUGAUGGCCAAAUAGUUGCAAAUGAAUGAUGCAGAUUUAACACCCCGACACUUUGCUUAUUUGUACGGAUUUCGAUUCCUCCGCCACAGUACAUAUUCAUACACGCUAUGUAUAUGUAUAUAGUUGUGUAUAUUGGUAUAAAUGAUUCUGUGUUGCGUUGAGCCUGUGGCGGAUAAGAGAUGGCUGAUAAAUAUUUUGGGAGUUUGUUUAGGAUUUAACAGCUAAUGGUAGCAAAUGGAGCAAAUUACGGCAACUGGUCGAGCAGAAAGUAAGUGCCAAUUGGGAAAUAUUAAGAAAAAUUAGUCUAUGUGAGCUUGUAUGUGUGUGCGUGUGCGUGCAAAUGUGGGCUGUCAAGUAAUGAACUUGUGCGAGACGUCCUAAGUUGUUGUUGAUAGUUACGUAACUGAUGGUCACAUUACGAAAAGCCUGAUAAGUAGGCUUAAAUAAAGAAAGCUAUAACCUUUUUUCAAACCAUUACAUUUUGAGCUAAAAGUUAAAUGGAAAUGAAUACAAAUUUAAGUAUAAAAGAAAUCAAUUGAGUUUUUCAUCUAAGUUUUGUAAUUGAUGAUAUUUGGGAAAAUAAAUAAAAUCAGUGCUCAUGUGAAAUAUAAGUUCUUAGCAUUCAGUACCGACUGAUUUUAUAUACAUAUAGUCACUGAGCUAUU